AGGAUAAACGCUGGCGGCGUGCCUAAAACAUGCAAGUCGAACGGUUCUCGCUUUCGGGCGGGGAUAGUGGCGGACGGCUGAGUAACACGUGGAUGACCUGCCUUCGAGCGGGGGAUAACGUGACCCGGAAAGGGUGGCUAAUACCGCAGAUGUCGAUGAUUCGGUUCGUUGACUGAACUUGAGGGGCUCGGAGAGGGGUCCGCGGCCGAUUAGCUAGCUGGUGGGUAACGCCUACAGGGCAUCGAUCGGUAGCUGGUCUGAGAGGAUGAUCAGCCAGACUGGGACUGCGAACGGCCCAGACUCCUACGGGAGGCAGCAGUUAGGAAUUUGGGCAAUGGGCGAAAGCCUGACCAGCAACGCGCGUGGGUGAUGAAGGUCCUCGGUCGUAAAGCCUUUCCCGAGGGAAGAUAGUGACGGUACCUGGGAAUAACGCCCCGGCUAACUACGUGCCAGCAGCCGC
rnacentral:rRNA from 1 species